AAUAACAAAAAAAAAAAAAAGAAAAAAAUACAAAUUGAGAAUUGUUUUGGUAUGCAUAGUAGUUUUAAAGAGUUUUCUUAUCGGUUUUAAAUUGUGAAAUGGAUGAACAUUUGGUUCGUACUGAAGAUAAUAUAGGAGUAAAACAGGGAUUGGACCUAAGUCAAACAGACCAGUGCUCACGAAAAAUAAUGAAGUUUAAGAGAAUUAGAAAACACAGUCUUAAACUGAAAAAAAGACGUAAAGUAAUAAGCGAGUGUGACAGCACCGUUAAAGAAAACGAUUUAGAGGUUGGGAACAAACCUGUGCAAUCCGCUGCAGUGGACCCAGAAACAAACAUUGAUACUUCAAAAGACAUUUGUAAUUCUGCUAGCAGUGGCUCACACGGGUCGGACUUUAACUCCUGUACACUUCUGGAGGAUAUUUUAAGCGAAAAGAAAAUGGCUUUAUUGGCAUCUGCAGAGAUGGUUGAGUUCUUCCGAAAACACAUAUCACUUAAUAAAAAGUAACCAAAUUUCAGAAGUAAUAUUUCCAGCUCGUCCUGAUCGCACACGUGGGGAAUGCAGUCCCGGACUCGCAACUGGGGAACUUUUUUGGCUGGAUCGUCCAGUGGGGUGCCAGGAUACAGCUGCCAGAUGCGGGGUUGGUCGUCGUCAAACGACACAAGAGAAGCUGCCUGCUCCGAGUGUGCCGGCCGACACUGUACCAAGAGACUGUACCACUACACCAAUAAAUGACGUGUGAGAACCGUGAAGAGGCGCAAUACGCAACACCCAUUCGCUGAGAAAACGUCACAAACUUUUAACCACCUCCACCGACUGCCGAUUAAAAAAAAAUAAUGGUAGACAUGUCAUACCUCAGAUCAUUUCACUUCCCAAAUACUUUUUUUUUAAUAAAAAAAAAUUCUUUCACAUGUUGUUAAGAAAGUGAAAUCAAACAUUUUUUGUAAUUUUUAUGUCUAUAUAUUAUAAGAGCAUUUUUUUACUGAGCUGUGAAAUUUUACCUUGAAUUAACAAAUUGGUUAUAAUUGUAAUGUGAAUAAAAUAAUAUUUAGGGUUUAGAGCUGUAGCGAACCGUAUGUAUUCGGUACUGAGUAACGGGUGCGCCAUCUAGUAUUGAGUAACGAAACGUUACACACGGCUGCAUUUCGUUACUCACAUUUUUCGUAUGUUUUACGCAUGCGCGCACAUUUUCGAUGAAUUUACGUUACAAAGAAUAAUGUUUGUUUAUUAAGUAAAGUAUAAUUUGGAAAUUCGUCGUCCAAGAUUUUUUACUGUUUAUUAAAGGUAUUGUGUGUGUAGACAAAGUUUGAGAUUGGAACAGAAACAACGUAAGAAAGUAUUUUUUACAAAUUAGAAAUAUGUAUGUUUUUGUUUUUUAUUAUAGUGUAUUUUCACAUUUUUUUGUUUUUAUCUUAAAAGAGAUAAUAUAAUAAAGCCGCUCGAAUGAGAUUUAAUUGUUUCUUGGUUAACAAAAAACUGUUAAUUAUCAAAUUUUGUUAAUUGUUUAUAUUCAAUUUAUUAUUAUUUACGCGAUGUCAUACUGUACGCGUACGCAAUACGAUUUGAUUUGUUGCUGUAACAUAACAUAGCAUGUUAUGCGGUAACAGAAGUAACGAGUAACGUAACGAUACAAUAGUAACGAGUACUAAUUGUUAUACAUAGUAACGAAUACAUACGGGGACACUUUUUUUCGUUACUUUUACACCUCUAUUAGGGUUAUUUAUAGAAUUAUAUGAAUUGUAAAUAUGUUUUAUAAAUAUCUUAUAGUAGUAUAUAAAUGGAGCUCUGAUGGCAUGGUUCAGGAUGUCGAUUGUGGAUGAGGUCAGUGAUCGACCAUCUUGAAUGACCUUGACCCUGACCACUAUGCUCUUUCCUAUUGGCUACCACCCUCACACACUUCAUUAAUAUGUUUAUCCUUCCAGCUGUAAUUUUAUUGGCUACACCCCCGCAAUUAUAUUCAUUUCUUAUUGGUUAUCACUCCUACCCUCUUUAUUAAUUGCUAUGCUCUCUCCUCCAACUUUAAUGCUAUUGGCUACACCUCCGUCUAGCUUUAAUUUUUUUCUCACAAACACCCCCCCCCCCCCCCCCCCCCCCCCCCCCUUUUACGUGCCAUCUACCACCACCCACCAACAUUAUAUGCCAUAAAUACUGACUCGCUGACCCGGGAUCCUUCAUUUUGCAGCAGUUCCCUGCCUAGUACAAGUCAUGUACCAAGGAGACGAUGAGUUUGACCCUAGAACAUGUGCAAGCUUCCAGGAAGCGAGUUCGUAACUGACCAGUUCGCGGCACUGGUUGUAACCGCACCUGAUGAACUGUACCACACCAAUCCGAGUCGGCUACGACGGAAUCUAAAUGGACAUUGUUCGUGAAGCCACGAUGAACAUCGAUACAGUUUUGAACCGAAGUGUACCCCGGUUCAGCUGACAUCCUCAUCAACAACUGUACAUCGGCCAUGAUCAUGUCACCCUGCGAGGAGACGAGGACCGCCCCUGCCGACCGGAGUACUAGGAGCUCGUAGAUGCCUGCCGGAGUUCAAGUUGUCGCCGUUGAGUGAACGUCAGUUGCUGCUUCUUUUAUCAAAGUCCUGCUGCUGCUCACGUGUCCUGCAGUGCUGUAGAAGUAGGAGCCACCACCAACACAUGGAUCUCUAGAGCUGUCAGCAUCGCUGUCAUGAUAUCUGCUGUCGCUGGCAUCGAGGUCUGCACUGAUUUCACCCUCAACAGGAGUCUGUAAGGUGAAGACGAGACCAAGACAUAGCGAGUGAGUGAACACUAAGAUGGACAUCAUGCCUCCAGGUGAGGCACCGGACCUGCAGACUGCACCGCUGUGAGCUCAGUCGUCUCUCCCCCCCCCCCCUCCCCCGAAUGGUGUGUUAGUGGUGACGAUGUGUUGCAGGAACAUUCAGGCAAAGACUAUGGCUCCGAUAGUGACCCACCUAUGAUGUCACCACCGGAUCCUAUAGUGCUCUAAAAAAAACUCAGUUGCACUGCAUUGAACAUGGAUUGAGUCUUAAUGAGCCAAGUGUGUAAUUUAGCACUCACCCAUCACUAUUACAUACUUUGGAAAGUGUGGGAAUGGUGUUCAUUUUUGACUCCAAUGGAAUAGGAUCAGACCUUACAAAACAUCCAGACUCUUAACCGUGUUUCGAUGUGAGGACCAGAAUUGUGUUAUUUUGUGUUAUUGGUCUUUGCCACCCUCACCGUUUACGUUGGCCGAGCUAAAGGCAUACCGAAGGUGAGACGAUAAUAAUCAUCAUUCUGAAUGAUGUCGGGGAACAAGACAUUUCCGUUACAGCCCACGUACAUCACUGCAGUGGCAGUGUGCUCACGAUACUCAGUAUAGUAGUCAUCUGUGUUCCGUGGCCCGAACGCGAAUAUUGCAUGAUUCAAACUUUUCUGCAGCUAGACACACAAACAUACAAGCAGGAGUCUGUAAAUAAAUUGCAUGGUAAUGAUAUACAUACUGAGAAGAAAAUAAUGGACUGUUGUGAGAAGUGCUCGUAUUUUAUGCGAGUGCACAGUUGAGAUAUUAAUUCUAAAUUUUUUUUUAAUUGCAAAUAAAAUAAAAAAAUUAAGGUCAGCCCAGGUACUAUGGCAUGAACUAAUAUCAUUGUCAGUGUACUGUGAACUGUACAGGUGUAUGCCUGCAUCCACAUGUUAAAAUAAACACAAAUGUGUAAAUUUUUUUGAAAAAUAACAUUUGUAUUAAACAUA